UCUACCAGUCUUUGGGCGGUAGCAGCUGUCAUGGGACCGGGUGGGCGGGGAGAGGCUUGCAAGCUGACUCCUUGCGGUGAGACGCGACUCGGAGGGGACGCAGCGGCCGAGACGUUCUGCUCCGGGAAGGCUCCCGGUGGCGACUUCAGGCUGGCGACUAGGACGGGCGGCGAGGCGAGGUGUCGCCUAGAGGAAGCCCGCCACGCGCGGGAGACGGCGGGCGGUAGCCCUCUGCAAACGCCGCGGCGUCCCGGAGCUGCGGGGCUGCGUGGUGUGUGGCUGGCGCGCUCGGAUCACUUACUUGGAAAAAAAAAACCCAAGAAAACAACAAAUGGAGUUAUUCUGUUACACUAAUUUGUAAAUUGGAAGAGCGCUGUUUUGUAACUUGCUUUUUUUCUCCUCCCCACAAUAUGCUGUGAACAUCUUUCCUCAUCAAUAAAUAUUGUGCUUAAUAUCUU